rnacentral:misc_RNA from 1 species
UUUUUUUUUUUUUUUUGAAAAAUACAAUGGCAUUGGCAUGUCUAUUUUGGUAUUGUAAUUAGAUGUCUGCAUGCCAUGCCAUGCCAUGUCCAUGUUAGACUAUGAAAUAUCCAAGUAAGGCUUAAUACAAAAGAUGGCUAUAGUUGACACUUAUGAUUGACACUUUGAAAAGCGGGGCUAAAAUUCAGUCACUACAGUUUGAGGUUUUUUUUGAGAUGAUUUUCCCUCUAAGUGAUGAAAUUAAAUGAUAUGAAGCUAUUCUUGAUGUGGAACUUCAUGAAGUUUCAUAUUGCUGUUGUGCAAAUAUUUUUAUGCUUUUGUACAUAUUGUAUAUUAUUUUUAUGGUUUUAGAAAUUUGAGAAAUGAUUUCUGAAUAUGUAGGAUGAUAGACAUUGUAAAGAGUUUUCCUUUUGACAUUUCAACUUUGAUGCUGUAUGAUCUCUGGACUUGUGAGGAGUAUGUUGUUAGCAUUUUGCGAUAAAACUAGUAAAACAUAAAUAUAGGAAACAAAAUUAUUAAUUAGAGGCCUAUGGGUUGAGUCCUAGCUUUGGUACCUCUCUGCUAAUAUGAAUCAAGUGAACUUUCCUGUUAUCUGUUUUAUGCUCUGGCACAUCCAAAUUGUAUUUUGGUGGGAAUAGUCUUUCGCACGCAAACUAAAUUUGUACUUUUUCCCAUUUAUGCUUGGAUUUGUGUUGAUAACCGGGAAAUUUUUAUUUUUCAUGUCAAAAAUGUAAGAUAGAAAUUCGAAGCACCAGAAAUAUGGAUAGCAAAAUUUUCAUGUCUUCUACAGUACCUCAACAGCCUAUAACUUCCCUUUUCAUUUUUCAUAGGUCGAUACUACCCUUUGAAUUAGUGUGUUCUUUAUUUUAUUCUAUUCUAACUUUUUAGUUGGUGCAGAGUCCUUUCUCCUGAAGUAAAAUUCCUGUGUGCAGUGAUCCAAAUAUGCAUAAAACUGACAAGAUCUGUUUCAGCUUUCUUAUGGCAGUUGAUGAGAUAUAAUAUGCUUCAACUCCUGAAGAACUUGAGAUCUCACUCUCAAGGGAAGGAAAUAACUGAUGCUGAUAUUCUAAAAUGGACAAACAGGAAGGUUAGAAGUACAGGCAGAACUUCUCAAAUUGACAACUUCAAGGUUAGCAAAUUUUGGCACUUAUCUUUCUGUAAACCAUCAUAUCCUGAAUCCGUGGACCAUAAAUUUUGCAUGGUAUUAUUUUUCUCAACUUUUUUCAGGAUAAAAGUCUGUCAACAGGGAUAUUCUUCCUGGAGCUUCUGAGUGCUGUGGAGCCUAGGGUGGUCAAUUGGAACCUUGUUACCAAGGGUGAAACUGAC